rnacentral:ncRNA from 1 species
CGUUAGAGCAUUGAGAGGACCUUUCCCUAGUACGAGAGGACCGGGAAGGACGCACCUCUGGUGUACCAGUUAUCGUGCCUACGGUAAACGCUGGGUAGCCAAGUGCGGAGAGGAUAACUGCUGAAAGCAUAUAAGUUGUAAGCCCACCCCAAGAUGAGUGCUCUCUCCUCCGACUUCCCUAGAGCCUCCGGUAUCACAGCCGAGACAGCGACGGGUUCUCCACCCAUACGGGGAUGGAGCGACAGAAGUAUGGAAAUAGGAUAAGGUAGCGGCGAGAGGAGCCGUUUAAA